AUUGAACGCUGGCGGCAUGCUUUACACAUGCAAGUCGAACGGCAGCACGGGUGCUUGCACCUGGUGGCGAGUGGCGGACGGGUGAGUAAUACAUCGGAACGUGUCCAGAAGAGGGGGAUAACGCAUCGAAAGAUGUGCUAAUACCGCAUAUGCUCUGAGGAGGAAAGUAGGGGAUCGAAAGACCUUACGCUUUUGGAGCGGCCGAUGUCUGAUUAGCUAGUUGGUGGGGUAAGGGCCUACCAAGGCGACGAUCAGUAGUUGGUCUGAGAGGACGACCAGCCACACUGGGACUGAGACACGGCCCAGACUCCUACGGGAGGCAGCAGUGGGGAAUUUUGGACAAUGGGCGCAAGCCUGAUCCAGCAAUGCCGCGUGAGUGAAGAAGGCCUCGGUU
rnacentral:rRNA from 1 species